rnacentral:snoRNA from 1 species
AACAAAUGAUGAAAAAUAAGAUUUGAGGUUGCAUUUAGUGACUGUUACCGUUUUGGGAACAAUCCAGUAGCCAUAUGAUGCACUUUGUCAUAGUUACUCUGAUUUU